UACGUAGGGCGCGAGCGUUGUCCGGAAUUAUUGGGCGUAAAGAGCUCGUAGGCGGCUUGUUGCGUCUGCUGUGAAAGCCCGGGGCUUAACCCCGGGUCUGCAGUGGAUACGGGCAGGCUAGAGGUAGGUAGGGGAGAAUGGAAUUCCCGGUGUAGCGGUGAAAUGCGCAGAUAUCGGGAGGAACACCGGUGGCGAAGGCGGUUCUCUGGGCCUUACCUGACGCUGAGGAGCGAAAGCGUGGGGAGCGAACAGG
rnacentral:rRNA from 1 species